AUGUAGUCAUGUAUCCGAAAAUUGUGGAAAGAAUUUGUGACUUGUACUUUUAUUGACAUUUACAAUAUUUAUUGAUUAGGCCAGUAGUAAUGAAGAUCUCUGCGUGUAAAUUUGUUGAGGUUUGCAGAAACUAAAAUUAAAACAUAUCCUCCAAGAUUUUGUUUGCUAUUUUAGUACUCAGUCAGCGCUCGAAGCACUAACAAAAGUUGGGAUGGAGACGAGAAAACGUAAAUUGAAAUUCCUUUACCCACUCAGGAAGAAAUUCGUCAUGUGGUACUUUACGUCAGCUUAAGUCUGCAGAAAUUUUCAGUGAAUUCCAAGCUCCAUAUUAAAUAAACGCAGUAUCGUAAAACGAUUUUGUAGGCUAGCUCCGCGGCCUUCCGCACAGCAAAAACUUCCGCCUGGAAAAUACUACUGUGGUCUGGCAGCUUGAUAGGCUGCCUUAUUCCUAGUUUUGGGCAGUAAAUAUGGGCAUUAGGAUGG